UCCCUUCGUCCGAGCGAUCGGGGUUGCUUGCACCGGGAGGAAGACGAGAAUUCAUGUAGAAGAAAGGAGGAGUUUGGUGCUGUGAAACUGGAUGAGGCAGACAGUUGACUUGCAGUCCUCUGACAACAAAAAGCUUUGGAAAGUUUGAAAACUUUUAUUAUAGUGAUUGUUGUAAAUAGUAUGUAUACAAUGAAAUCAGCAUGUAAUGUCCUCCUGUGCUAUAUCUAUAGUGCCCACUGUGCUGGUGCAAAUACACCAUGCUUUAAAAUCAAGGAGGAUGUGGGGGAGGAGGGCAGUUUGGUUCAUGAACUUUUGUGGGAGGUUAUUUCUUUUCUGAUCAGACAGAGGAAAAGUUGGCUGUUUCCUUGUUGAUAAAAGCUUCACUGUGGUGCAAGAAGAUAAACUGAAACAUACAAAAAGAGCUAUAUUAAUUUUCUCCAAAUAUUGCUGAAGGAAUAAUGGAAAUCUGUGUCUGUGGCUACUGAGGUGUUUGAGAAAGGGAAGGUUUGGAAGCAGGUUUUGCCGCAAGAUUAACAGCGCUGAGCUGUUCUGUAUAGAAUUUCAGUGGGUGAGUGAGCAAUUCAGAUUAGUCAAGUGCUGCAUUGUUAGAGGACUUCAGUGUUUCAGUAUUUGUUGAAAACACAAGAAAUCCAUUACCCUUGUGAAUACAGGAAUAAGCAGCUGGAUUUACAAAUAAGCAUACAUUCAAAACUGAGUUCUGAAAUGUGAAAAGCAAAGGUCACUUAAAUCUGGAUACUGUGAUCUAUGAGAAAGUAUAGUUUGCUACAACUCCUUUUUCCUUCCUCUGUUAUUUUUAAACAGCAGUUUAUACUGCAGGCCCAUUAUGUGUAGGAGCACGUAUGUCUGUGUGUCUGAGCACUUUGAGAUCAAGAUGUAUGAGGACAUCUCCAGAGAUAUGGAUACAUCGGGUCUCCUGAGUACUGCCCUGGCUUUCUUUAUAACUUCUGCUUUCAGUUCCUUACAGCCAAUUCCAAAAUGUGCAACUCAGCAUCAACUCUCCAUACUUAAUCUUGUUACAUUAGUGAUUUUCUUUGAGAGAGCAGCACUAAAAUUAAUUCAGCUAUUUUUAAAUUCAUCAGGCAAGAGGGGAGUGAGAUAGAACUAGUUUGACCUAAAUAAUUGUUACUCUGUUUUUCCUGUGCAUAGUUAUAAGAAUAGCUGUUUUAAAAUUUACCAGCCCAUUCAUAGAUUAUAAAGGUCAAAAAGCUUUAAAGUGAUCAUGAAGCUGAGGCAUCUUCAUGUCACAUCCCUGGCCUAAUUCCUACAAGAACUGGAAUAAUCCUCUAGAACAACUCCUAACCUACCUGAAACACUCCAGUAAUGUUUUGGUAAGUUGGUUCAGUGGUUAGUUGCUCUUGCUAUUAAAAAAUCUGCAUCCGAUUUCUAAUCCCCAGUUUCUCCACUGUUGCCUUCAACGAUCACAUUUUGCUUAUUAGAUCAAAGAGCUUUUUUCUUUUAUAAUUUUCUGUGUAGGUGCUUGGAGACUGCUUGUUCCUGAAUCUCCUCUGCAGCAGAUUGAAUAGGUUGAGCUUUUGUCUUUUGCUGUAUGGUAGGAUUUUUACUCCUUUGAUGCUCUUGUGGACCUUGUGAACAGUCCCCAGUUUUUUUUCUGCAUCUCUAAGUUCUGGACAAGAAGUCAGGUCGUAGUGGUCCAUCAGGAAUCAUGCCAUGCUACAUACACAAAUCAAAUGAAUGCCUUUCUACUUCACGUUUCUCUCUUCCUAGUAUUAUAGCAGUUCUUUUAGCCUCAGUGUUGCACUGGAGGGUGAUUAUUCAGCUAACAGUCAUUCAAAUCUUUUUCAGAAUCACUGCUUCUAAAGGUGUCCUCUGUCCCAUAAUGUUGCCCUGCUUGCCUCUGACCCUCCUUAGCUGAGUGAAAUCCACGCGUCCUUAGCCCGAAGUACCUACUGCUGAACAUACUGUUCAUGAUAGAAUACAUUUAUAGACCACAGUAAGUGAGAGUUACAAAAUUGCAUCACUAAGAGAGGCUCCCCUUUGUGUCUUCAGCGCAAUUGCUGCUCACAGAAUAGAAGAGUUCUGGUUUAUAUCUCCCUUGCUGCAACAUGCGGCGUGCGCAGAGCCUAACAGCCAAGGAGUGUCUGCAGAGUAGUGAAGCCGGCUUGGCAUGUGGCCGUCUAUUGGCAAACAUGGCAAUUUACUUUCCAGGUGGUCCCUUGCUAGGAAAUGAAUGAAGUAAUGUAGAUUAAAAGAAUCAGCCGGAGCUUUCUCCUUCCCAAAUUUAAGCUGAACUCCAGAGCUUUUCAGAAGCUGGGAACUGUUCAGUUGCACUUAAUUUCUUGUCUGUUUUGCAGCUGCCUCAGCAGGUACAGGUUCCAGCUGGGACCAACCGAGAAUCACUGAAAUGCUGUCAGGAAUGCUGAUCCAGGAGACUUUCUGUCCUGAC